AGAAUAGAAACAAGCGAGACUAAGACUGAACUCAAAAGAGAGAGGCAUGGUGAGGAGCAGCCAGAUGGUUUCGGCACUAAUUAUGGUGUCAAUUUGCUUCUUUGCUGCCCAUUCCUUCGCCUCAUCAUCGGACCUUAAUUCCACACUAACCAGUGAAGGUUAUGGAGGAAACAGCAGCUGCCAGACAUGGCCAUGCUGCGAUAAUUGCGGUACGUGCACAAAGUCUAUUCCACCUCUAUGCACGUGCCAAGAUUUGGUGUGGUCAUGCCAUCCUGAGUGCAAAUAUUGUGCCCGGACGCUGGAUGACAACCCUCCCUUCUAUCGAUGCUUGGACCGCAUUGCUAACUACUGUGAGCACAAGUGCCAUCCCGAGUAUGAUAGCUGGUAGCAGCAGCAUCCACAAAUUAAGACCAAGCAUAUACCAAGAAAGUGCCAUCUGCUUAUCUAUCUGCCUCAUAUUAUGCUCUAUGCUCUUGAUCAUCACUCGUAUUAUGAUGCUUCAUCAUCUCUUUGCUUUAGAUGUGUCAUCAUCAAAUGUAUUGGGGUGCCAUACGUAAUAAACUUGAAUAAUAAAGUCUCUGCGUUGCUUUGAUUAA